GUUCUCUUUCCGCAGCGCUUUCUUAAACAAAUUCUGGGAGAGGGCGAGAGUGGUGACUAAAGAGAGGAACCUUUCCUCCCCUUUUGCCUGCGCUCCGGCGCGCGGAGAGAGGGAGGUAGGGAGAAACACAGAAACACAGAGCUAGAGAAAUUGAAAGAGAAACAUUCUGGAAGGCAAAGAGUUGAAAGGUGAAUCUACUAAGAAAAGAAUAACAGAGUGCAAUUAGCAAUGAAACUGUAUCUCCGUCUGCCUCCUUAGCCUUUGGGAGGAAUUGGGCCAUGAGAAGAGCCUUCAUGAAUGGGAUUAGUUCGCUUAUAAGAAGAGACACCAAAGAAGUGAUCUUUCUCUGCCUUCUGCUACGUGAGGACAAGGUCAUCUGCAGUUUUUUGUUGUUGUUGAUGAUCUUCCUGUCAUAGACAGUGCUGUAACAAACAAACUAGAGGUAAUAAGCUCACUUUACCUCAGGACCUUUGCAGCAGCUCUACCCUGUGCUUAGAUUGAUCUGUCACAGAAACUUAAAGUCCAGCUGAUUCUCAUUCUUCAGAUU
rnacentral:antisense_RNA from 1 species